AGGGCCUUCCCCUGAUCUGAGCUAAUCCAACAGGCUAAUCUUGCCACUAGCUUGAGAGCCACAGGAAUCAUUCUACUCUCCCUCAAUGGGAGGAAUAGUCCCAGUGUUCUAACCCAGCUGCAAUCCCAAAACGGGAUACAUGUGAUAGGACCAUGUGCACCACUACGAUGGUCCUCACCACUAUUGCUGUCAUCCUAUACAGAAAGUUCUCAAACCGAGUCGAACCGCACAAUGUUGAUGAUGCCAAUGAGGUGCCCUACAUGAAGAGCAAUGGAGUCGACCCUAAGAAAUAACAACCCUCACAGCAGAUGUAGCUCUAGUCUACAGUCUACAUGGUACAUAAAAGUAAAAUAACAAGUAGCCUACAGAAGUGAAUGCUGUCUGAUAUUUCAAGAUGUGGAAAGGAAUGCAAGAGGAGGAGGGGAAGAGAGAGGGAGGGAAAAUGGAACAUGUGGCAGAAGUAGAGAUGCAUGAAGUGAGAAGAUGUAUGCCCGUUCCACAUUUAGCUUUCAAGUACUCACCACUAUGCUGCUCCCACUAAAUGAUUUAGUGGCAGAACAACAAUCCAUCAGCUCUGUGGAAGGUUAUUAUAAAUGCAUUACAUCCCCAAGCCUACCAGUUCAAUGGAGUCGUGCAGGGCCUCAUAAAUAUGGGUCAAUAAAGGGACACACACAAAAGACUCAGGAUGAAUGAAAUAGGCUUUAUUGUUUUAGUGUGAACUUUCACCCUACCUGUGCGUAGAAGCUCUCAGAUCUGAGGCGGGUCUUUUCAAAUGAAGAGACACACGAACUGAAGACAGGUCUUCACCUUGAUGGCUACAAAUCGGUCUAGUUUGACAGGCAAACAUCCUAUAACCUAAACCCAAAAAUGGAUAUGUUACAGACAACAGCAGCAGCUCCAUCUCAGUCAUCUGGAAUUGAUGCAGCUGGCGCCAUUGUCUCUCCAGUGUUCAGAGACUGUGCAUUGCCUUGUGAAAAGCAUCUGGAAUUAAUAACAGGCCAGGGUAGGCCAGCACAACAAGAAUCUUUUUUUAUCACAUCUUCAAUCCCCCAUCUGUCCUGCAGAUCCAUCUAAUGUUAGAGGAGUCCCAGGAAGGAUUUGUGUCCAUUGAGUAAAUUAUAAUGGCUUUUAAAGAAGAGGCAGAACUUUAAAAUUAUGCACUUUAAAUGGUAGGAUGUUUUUGGUAAUCUUUCACAUUCCUAAAGUGACCUAAAUCUUGUUUUGACUGAAACAAGGAGCUUUGGAUAAGCAAUAUAUUUCAAAUGAAUCGCUUGAACCCAUAAAUAUUUGACCAAAUGUCAGAGAACAUAAAUGUCUUGUAGUGAAGAUGUGUAUGCCAUGGCUACUCAAUCUAAAGAGCAAUGGAGAGAGGCAUCUGUUUUGUACCUCUCUGUCAACCCUCUCCAGUCACAAUGCAUUGCUAUGUGAUGAAAGAAAGCAUGCAAUGAAUCACCUUUUCCCCUACACCUUUAGCAUCCCUCGGGUCCCAUUGAAGGAGCAACAGUCAGAAAGAGGUGUGUUACUAGUCUGCCUAUGUUCAAAACACAGCUCCAACUUUACUUUACAUUUUUAAAAGCAGCUAGGUGUCACCUUAGUAAACGUCUGCCUUGAGUCAGAGCUUGGUGAUGAUGGUGGUUACUGGUAGGACGGUUUGUUACAGAAUCGACUUUCCUUUGACAUGACAUUUUACAACCUGCUUCUUCUCUCUAAAGCAAAAAUGAUGUCUGUUCUUUGCUCUCCCCACCUGAUCAAAUAAAGAGAUUGGAAAAAUGUAUUUAGUUUGUACAUAUUUUUAUGGCCUUGGUUUUAAUUUUCCCUUGUUGUAGGACACCUACUCCCAAAUGUUGCAUUGUAUGUACUGCAUGAUGACCAUUACUGUAUUACCACUUAUAAGAGACCCUUCAACAUGUAACAUACACAGUCUGAGAUAUUAAAUCUGUUCAUGCUUGUUUUUUUAACCACUCCAAACAAGAAGAAUUAAGCAAUACCUCAGGAAGA